rnacentral:rRNA from 1 species
UGGGAAGUGCGAAUGCUGACAUGAGUAGCGAUAAAGCGGGUGAAAGGCCCGCUCGCCGUAAGCCCGAGGUUUCCUGCGCAACGUUCAUCGACGCAGGGUGAGUCGGCUCCUAAGGCGAGGCAGAAAUGCGUAGUCGAUGGGGAACAGGUUAAUAUUCCUGUACCGUUAUCUGAUGCGAUUGGGGAGACGGAGAAGGUUAUGCAAGCCGGGUGUUGGAAGUCCUGGUUUAAGCGUGUAGGCGUGGCUCUUAGGCAAAUCCGGGGGUCUUAGCCGAGGCGUGAUGACGAGUCCUCUUAGGGGGAUGAAGUUGCAGAUACCCCGCUUCCAAGAAAAUCCUCUAAGCUUCAGUCAGAUGAUGACCGUACCGCAAACCGACACAGGUGGGCGAGAUGAAUAUUCUCAGGCGCUUGAGAGAACUCAGGAGAAGGAACUCGGCAAAUUGACACCGUAACUUCGGAAGAAGGUGUGCCGCUAGUAGGUGAAGGAGUACAUCCGGAGCCCAAUGCGGUUGCAAAGAAUAGGUGGCUGCGACUGUUUAAUAAAAACACAGCACUCUGCAAACACGAUGAGUGGACGUAUAGGGUGUGACGCCUGCCCGGUGCCGGAACGUUAAAUGAUGGGGUGCAAGCUCUUGAUUGAAGCCCCGGUAGACGGCGGCCGUAACUAUAACGGUCCUAAGGUAGCGAAAUUCCUUGUCGGGUAAGUUCCGACCUGCACGAAUGGCGUAACGAUGGCCACGCUGUCUCCUCCUGAGACUCAGCGAAGUUGAAAUGUUUGUGAUGAUGCAAUCUACCCGCGGCUAGACGGAAAGACCCCAUGCACCUUUACUGUAGCUUUACAUUGGACUGUGAACCAAUCUGUGUAGGAUAGCUGGGAGGCGAUGAAGCGGGAGCGCUAGCUCUCGUGGAGCCAACCUUGAAAUACCAGCCUGGUUUGUUUGCGGUUCUAACCUAGCCCCCUCAUACGGGGGUGGGGACCGUGUAUGGUAGGCAGUUUGACUGGGGCGGUCUCCGCCCAAAGAGUAACGGAGGAGCUCGAAGGUACGCUAGGUACGGUCGGACAUCGUACUGAUAGUGCAAUGGCAUAAGCGUGCUUGACUGCGAGACUGACAAGUCGAGCAGGUGCGAAAGCAGGACAUAGUGAUCCGGUGGUUCUGAAUGGAAGGGCCAUCGCUCAACGGAUAAAAGGUACGCUGGGGAUAACAGGCUGAUUCCUCCCAAGAGUUCACAUCGACGGGGGAGUUUGGCACCUCGAUGUCGGCUCAUCACAUCCUGGGGCUGUAGCCGGUCCCAAGGGUAUGGCUGUUCGCCAUUUAAAGUGGUACGUGAGCUGGGUUUAAAACGUCGUGAGACAGUUUGGUCCCUAUCUG